rnacentral:rRNA from 1 species
AGGGUUUGAUCAUGGCUCAGAUUGAACGCUGGCGGCGUGCUUAACACAUGCAAGUCGAACGAACCUUCGGGUUAGUGGCGGACGGGUGAGUAACGCGUGAGAAUCUGCCCUCAGGAGGGGGAUAACGGUUGGAAACGACCGCUAAUACCCCAUAUGCCUAUUGGUGAAAUGAAUUUCGCCUGAGGAUGAGCUCGCGUCUGAUUAGCUUGUUGGUGAGGUAAUGGCUCACCAAGGCUUCGAUCAGUAGCUGGUCUGAGAGGAUGAUCAGCCACACUGGGACUGAGACACGGCCCAGACUCCUACGGGAGGCAGCAGUGGGGAAUUUUCCGCAAUGGGCGAAAGCCUGACGGAGCAACGCCGCGUGAGGGACGAAGGCCUCUGGGCUGUAAACCUCUUUUCUCAAGGAAGAAGAUAUGACGGUACUUGAGGAAUAAGCCACGGCUAAUUCCGUGCCAGCAGCCGCGGUAAUACGGGAGUGGCAAGCGUUAUCCGGAAUUAUUGGGCGUAAAGCGUCCGCAGGCGGCUUUUCAAGUCUGCUGUUAAAGCGUGGAGCUUAACUCCAUCAUGGCAGUGGAAACUGAAAGGCUUGAGUAUGGUAGGGGCAGAGGGAAUUCCCGGUGUAGCGGUGAAAUGCGUAGAUAUCGGGAAGAACACCAGUGGCGAAGGCGCUCUGCUGGGCCAUUACUGACGCUCAUGGACGAAAGCCAGGGGAGCGAAAGGGAUUAGAUACCCCUGUAGUCCUGGCCGUAAACGAUGAACACUAGGUGUCGGGGGAAUCGACCCCUUCGGUGUCGUAGCUAACGCGUUAAGUGUUCCGCCUGGGGAGUACGCACGCAAGUGUGAAACUCAAAGGAAUUGACAGGGGCCCGCACAAGCGGUGGAGUAUGUGGUUUAAUUCGAUGCAACGCGAGAACCUUACCAGGGUUUGACAUCCUGCGAACCUCUUAGAAAUUUGAGGGUGCCUUCGGGAAUGCAGUGACAGGUGGUGCAUGGCUGUCGUCAGCUCGUGUCGUGAGAUGUUGGGUUAAGUCCCGCAACGAGCGCAACCCACGUUUUUAGUUGCCAGCAUUUAGUUGGGCACUCUAGAAAGACCGCCGGUGAUAAACCGGAGGAAGGUGUGGAUGACGUCAAGUCAUCAUGCCCCUUACACCCUGGGCUACACACGUACUACAAUGCUACGGACAAAGGGCAGCAAACUCGCGAGAGCUAGCAAAUCCCAUAAACCGUGGCUCAGUUCAGAUCGUAGGCUGCAACUCGCCUACGUGAAGUAGGAAUCGCUAGUAAUCGCAGGUCAGCAUACUGCGGUGAAUACGUUCCCGGGCCUUGUACACACCGCCCGUCACACCAUGGAAGUUGGCCAUGCCCGAAGUCGUUACUCCAACCCUUGUGGAGGAGGACGCCGAAGGUGGGGCUAAUGACUGGGGUGAAGUCAUAACAAGGUAACCGUA